UAAAGACCUUUGACCACUCCGGUGAGA
rnacentral:piRNA from 1 species